rnacentral:rRNA from 1 species
UACAGGGGGGUGCAAACGUUGCUCGGAAUCAUUGGGCGUAAAGCGCACGUAGGCGGUUCGUUAUGUCGGAUGUGAAAGCCCUUGGCUUAACCGAGGAAGUGCAUCCGAAACUGGCGAGCUAGAGUACGAAAGAGGAUCGCGGAAUUCCCGGUGUAGAGGUGAAAAUUCGUAGAUAUCGGGAGGAACACCGGUGGCGAAGGCGGCGAUCUGGGUCGAUACUGACGCUGAGGUGCGAAAGCGUGGGGAGCAAACAGG